GUGUGAAUCUGGUGGUGUAUUUUAUUCAAUUCAAAGAAGAAGAAGUUUCUUUCCAUAAACAAGUUAUAAUCUUCUGGUUCUUGGAGUUUAUUUCGCAGGUAAAUGUUACUAGACAUCUAUAGAUCAUUCUCGUGGACUGUGGUUGAGUACGCUUGUUCUGAUUGCAACAUGCCUGCUAUGACAAAGAGUUUUGAGCACCACAAUUUUGGGCACAUAUUUGACAAGCUUACCGAAGAAAUUGGAAGUCCAGUCGAAUUUGAACUGCCAGACUGGGUAAAGGAUCAGAAUCCUAAUACCUACACCUUCAUAAGACGCAGUAUCCAUAUAGUAGUUGAAUAAAUUAAUAUGCUCUGAAUGAACUUCUUGGUGGAAAUUAUUUUGUGAAGG